rnacentral:rRNA from 1 species
UACGUAGGGUGCGAGCGUUGUCCGGAAUUAUUGGGCGUAAAGGGCUCGUAGGCGGUCUGUCACGUCGAAAGUGAAAACUCAGGGCUUAACCCUGAGCCUGCUUCCGAUACGGGCAGACUAGAGGUAUGCAGGGGAGAAUGGAAUUCCUGGUGUAGCGGUGAAAUGCGCAGAUAUCGGGAGGAACACCGGUGGCGAAGGCGGUUCUCUGGGCCUGUACUGACGCUGAGGAGCGAAAGCGUGGGGAGCGAACAGG